rnacentral:rRNA from 1 species
GACGAACGCUGGCGGCGUGCUUAACACAUGCAAGUCGAACGGAAAGGCCCUGCUUUUGUGGGGUGCUCGAGUGGCGAACAGGUGAGUAACACGUGAGUAACCUGCCCUUGACUUUGGGAUAACUUCAGGAAACUGGGGCUAAUACCGGAUAGGAGCUCCUGCUGCAUGGUGGGGGUUGGAAAGUUUCGGCGGUUGGGGAUGGACUCGCGGCUUAUCAGCUUGUUGGUGGGGUAGUGGCUUACCAAGGCUUUGACGGGUAGCCGGCCUGAGAGGGUGACCGGCCACAUUGGGACUGAGAUACGGCCCAGACUCCUACGGGAGGCAGCAGUGGGGAAUAUUGCACAAUGGGCGGAAGCCUGAUGCAGCAACGCCGCGUGCGGGAUGACGGCCUUCGGGUUGUAAACCGCUUUCGCCUGUGACGAAGCGUGAGUGACGGUAAUGGGUAAAGAAGCACCGGCUAACUACGCG